AUUGAACGCUGGCGGCAGGCCUAACACAUGCAAGUCGAGCGAGCGGCGGACGGUUGAGUAAUGUCUGGGAAACUGCCUGAUGGAGGGGGAUAACUACUGGAAACGGUAGCUAAUACCGCAUACCAUCAGAUGUGCCCAGAUGGGAUUAGCUUGUCGGUGGGGUAACGGCUCACCUAGGCGACGAUCCCUCGCUGGUCGGCGCGGAUGACCAGCCACACUGGAACUGAGACACGGUCCAGACUCCUACGGGAGGCAGCAGUGGGGAAUAUUGAACAAGGGGCGCAAGCCUGAGGCAGCCAUGCCGCGUGUGUGAAGAAGGCCUUCGGGUUGUAAAGCACUUGCAGCGGGGAGGCGUUACCCGCAGAAGAAGCACCGGCUAACUCGGUGCCAGCAGCCGCGGUAAUUC
rnacentral:rRNA from 1 species